AUGUCGGUGCCGGAGGCGGGGCAAUCGGCGGGGAGGGACGAGCAGGAGAUGGACAAUUACGAGCAGCACCAGACCAGAGUGCUCAUGGCGCUGAUGCAGGGCUUGUGCGCCGCGAGGUACCGCAAGGCCGACAACACCCCCUGCCUCGUCGACCAGGGCCUCUACCUGGGUUCUGUUGGAGCAGCACUGAACAACGAGGCUCUGAAGAGCUUGAACAUCACCCACAUCUUGGUUGUUGCCAGAUCACUGAAUCCCGCCUUUCCAGCAGAAUUUACAUACAAGAAGAUCGAGGUACUUGACAGCCCAGACACUGAUUUGGGAAAGCAUUUCGGUGAAUGCUUUACUUUCAUAGAUGAGGGUAUCUGCACUGGUGGCAAUGUGCUGGUUCACUGCUUUGCAGGUCGGUCACGGAGUGUCACAGUUGUUCUUGCAUAUCUUAUGAAGAAGCAUCAGAUGAGCCUGCAAAGUGCCAUGUCACUAGUUAGAAGCAAACGACCUCAAAUAGCACCCAAUGCGGGCUUUAUAUCCCAGCUGGUGAACUUUGAGAAGUCUCUGCAAGUGGAGCAGGGACAAAGAACGUUGCAAUCUAACUAA
rnacentral:rRNA from 1 species